CGGGGUGAGUAACGCGUGGAUAACCUGCCUCACACUGGGGGAUAACAGUUAGAAAUGACUGCUAAUACCGCAUAAGCGCACAGUACCGCAUGGUACAGUGUGAAAAACUCCGGUGGUGCGAGAUGGAUCCGCGUCUGAUUAGCCAGUUGGCGGGGUAACGGCCCACCAAAGCGACGAUCAGUAGCCGACCUGAGAGGGUGACCGGCCACAUUGGGACUGAGACACGGCCCAA
rnacentral:rRNA from 1 species